rnacentral:rRNA from 1 species
GGAACAGGCCANCAUCGGUUUGGGCGGCCGGACAAAGGCCCCAGGAACGUGGCUCCCCCCGGGGAGCGUUAUAGCCUGGGGUGCCAUGCGGNCCGCCCGGACCGAGGACCGCGCUCCGGCUAGGAUGCUGGCGUAAUGGUCGCNAGCGACCCGUCUUGNAACACGGACCANGGAGUCUAACAUCUAUGCGAGUGUNUGGGUGUCAAACCCAUGCGCGGAAUGANAGUGAACGGAGGUGGGAACCCUUCAGGGCGCACCAUCNACCGAUCCUGAUGUUUUCGGAUGNAUUUGAGUAGGAGCAUAGCCGUUGG